rnacentral:sRNA from 2 species
UGGUCCCUACUAUCUCCACAAGCAAAUGGCUUUGGAAAAGCUUCGUCUGCGGAUAUUUGUGCACUGUUUUGGAGCCUUUUUCUCCUUAUAGCCGUGGGUAGUUUGCAUUUUCACCUGGUUAACUGACCAGUGCAUCCAUGAGGUGGGAAUCACAGAACAUAUUCCCUAAUACCAUUCAUCGGAUUUUCCCUUUGGAGAAUCGAGGCGAAUUCAAUGGGCUUAUGAGACAUGGUGAGGAUGAAGUCAACCGUAAGGUCCUUGGAUUUCUUUGGGAUGAUCGGUGGCCGGAUUGAAAUCAUUACCGCCAACAGAGCAUAGCACAGCAUGAACAACACUGCUUAGGAGUUGGAUUGGUUACAGGUACCACCGCUCAGAAUGGUCGUAUAGAAAGCUGUCGCAUUGUUCACAAAAUCGCGGUGGCUGGCCUACGAACCUACGAUAGAAUGCCUACAAGAAUACCAGUACGGCUGGCGAUAAAGUCAAUUAUAUAUCUAGCACAGUUUGGCUUGCAGACUUAGCUUCUGAUUUUAGCCCUCGUGGCCGUCUUGACAAUGCGACCGCGACGAGUCGUUAGAAGAUAGACGCUUAGAUAGAGGAAUAAGCUUUGAUAAUAUGGAG